rnacentral:rRNA from 1 species
CCUACGGGAGGCAGCAGUGAGGAAUAUUGGUCAAUGGACGAGAGUCUGAACCAGCCAAGUAGCGUGAAGGAUGACUGCCCUAUGGGUUGUAAACUUCUUUUAUAUGGGAAUAAAACGUUCCACGUGUGGGAUUUUGUAUGUACCAUAUGAAUAAGGAUCGGCUAACUCCGUGCCAGCAGCCGCGGUAAUACGGAGGAUCCGAGCGUUAUCCGGUUUUAUUGGGUUUAAAGGGAGCGUAGGUGGAUUGUUAAGUCAGUUGUGAAAGUUUGCGGCUCAACCGUAAAAUUGCAGUUGAAACUGGCAGUCUUGAGUACAGUAGAGGUGGGCGGAAUUCGUGGUGUAGCGGUGAAAUGCUUAGAUAUCACGAAGAACUCCGAUUGCGAAGGCAGUUCACUGGACUGCAACUGACACUGAGGCUCGAAAGUGUGGGUAUCAAACAGGAUUAGAUACCCUAGUAGUC